rnacentral:lncRNA from 1 species
GUUUAUUGUUAAAAUAUUUAUCAGGUUAUUUUCGAAUCAGUUACAGUCCAAUUUAAAUUAAAAAGGAAAUGGGGAAAAGAUCAGCUUAGAAAAUCUAGUAAAUAUAUGGAGUGUUUCACGAGAUAUCGGCGACGUGGAAGAAAAUAUUGACGGCAAUGCAGAAAUAUAGUUUCUUAUGUAUAUUUUUGUGAAAUAAAAAUUAAGUAAUGUUA